rnacentral:lncRNA from 1 species
CAGCAGUACACUCUCCACCACCUCCGCCAGUACACUUGUCAUCUCCGCCAUCGCUACCUCAACCGCCGGUUCAUUUACCGCAACCACCAGUACAGUCACCUCCACUCCCAGUUCAUUCUCCACCUCCACCUGUUCACUUACAACCGUCUCCUGAACACUCACCCCCACCUCCGCCACCAGUGUUCUCACCGCCACCCCCAGUUUACUCACCAGUUCCACCGCCAGUUUACUCACCGACACAACCGCCAGUUUACUCACAGGCGCCUCCGCCUGUUAAUUCACCGCCACGACCGACACUUAACUCACCGAC